rnacentral:tRNA from 1 species
GAGGGAAUAGCUCAUCAGUAGAGUGUGUACUUAGCAUGCAUGAGGUCCUGGGUUCAAUCUCCAGUACCCCCA